rnacentral:rRNA from 1 species
CAGUCGCCGCGGGAAUACGAAGGAGGCUAGCGUUGCUCGGAAUCACUGGGCGUAAAGGGUGCGUAGGCGGGUCUUUAAGUCAGGGGUGAAAUCCUGGAGCUCAACUCCAGAACUGCCUUUGAUACUGAAGAUCUUGAGUUCGGGAGAGGUGAGUGGAACUGCGAGUGUAGAGGUGAAAUUCGUAGAUAUUCGCAAGAACACCAGUGGCGAAGGCGGCUCACUGGCCCGAUACUGACGCUGAGGCGCGAAAGCGUGGGGAGCAAACAGGAUUAGAUACCCCGGUAGUCCCUGUCUCUUAUAC